rnacentral:lncRNA from 10 species
UUAACAAAGGGAAAAUGUGGUGUCCUGGUUGACCAGAGCUUUCCCUGAUUUAUUGUGAAACUGUUUAUCUCGGAGCUUUACUUAGGAUCACAUGCAGUCUGUCUACCUAUUACUACAUUGGACCUACUGACCUCAUUUUUUCAUUUCGUUGUCAUUGUUUUUGCUGUUUGUUCAUUCAUUUAUUGUUUCAGCAUUUAUAAGUGCUUGCUACAGUCUAACAACUAUUCUAGAUGUUAGAGAUGCAAUGUGAAAAUGAGUCCCAGUUCUUAUUUUGGAGAGGUUGUUGUCAAGUAGGUGAGAGAGAGAUGAGCAAACAAUACAGCCUGAUUGAGGAUGUGAUCAAGAUAUACUCAAGGUAGUAAGGAAUAGCAGAGGCAAGGCAGCUACCUAUCUGAGGUGGACAAGAAAGACUUUCUGGAGAGGUUAGUUGGGCUUGACUUAAUCUUGAAAAAAAAUAGGAGCUGGGCAGCAGGUGAAGAAAGAAAUCAAAGAGAAGAAUUCACAAAGCAAAGAGGCUGACACCCUGGAGCAUUUUGGGAAUCUACAAGGUGUUGCCUGCUUGGGACUUCCUGUUGCUAUGUGCCACAGGGAAGAUUUACUCUGUGAGCUAAUGGAGCUAAUGAGGCCAAUUGGAGCCAAGUAUGAGGUACCCACAGCCUGCCUUGGUGUUUAUUCCUCAUCCUCCCCUCGGGCCCACACUGCUACAAUCCCAUCGGAACUUAUACCUAAACUCACAGGGAAUGAGAAAAGGAUAACUUC